rnacentral:rRNA from 1 species
UAGGGAAUCUUCGGCAAUGGACGGAAGUCUNGACCGAGCAACGCCGCGUGAGUGAAGAAGGUUUUCGGAUCGUAAAGCUCUGUUGUAAGAGAAGAACGAGUGUGAGAGUGGAAAGUUCACACUGUGACGGUAUCUUACCAGAAAGGGACGGCUAACUACGUGCCAGCAGCCGCGGGUAAUACGUAGGUCCCGAGCGUUGUCCGGAUUUAUUGGGCGUAAAGCGAGCGCAGGCGGUUAGAUAAGUCUGAAGUUAAAGGCUGUGGCUUAACCAUAGUAGGCUUUGGAAACUGUUUAACUUGAGUGCAAGAGGGGAGAGUGGAAUUCCAUGUGUAGCGGUGAAAUGCGUAGAUAUAUGGAGGAACACCGGUGGCGAAAGCGGCUCUCUGGCUUGUAACUGACGCUGAGGCUCGAAAGCGUGGGGAGCAAACAGGAUUAGAUACCCUGGUAGUCCACGCUGUAAACGAUGAGUGCUAGGCGUUAGACCCUUUCCGGGGUUUAGUGCCGUAGCUAACGCAUUAAGCACUCCGCCUGGGGAGUACGACCGCAAGGUUG